rnacentral:rRNA from 1 species
GACAGAGGAUGCAAGCGUUAUCCGGAAUGAUUGGGCGUAAAGCGUCUGUAGGUGGCUUUUUAAGUCCGCCGUCAAAUCCCAGGGCUCAACCCCUGGACAGGCGGUGGAAACUACCAAGCUGGAGUACGGUAGGGGCAGAGGGAACUUCCGGUGGAGCGGUGGAAAUGCGCAGAUAUCAGGAGGAACACCGGUGGCGAAGGCGGGUCUCUGGGCCGAUACUGACGCUGAGGAGCGAAAGCGUGGGGAGCGAACAGG